GGAUCUGUCGUUCAACGGUUAGGACACGAAUCUUAUAAAUUCGGGACAAAGGUUCGACUCCUUUCAGAUCCA
rnacentral:tRNA from 1 species